GACGAACGCUGGCGGCGUGCUUAACACAUGCAAGUCGAACGGAAAGGCCCUGCUUUUGUGGGGUGCUCGAGUGGCGAACGGGUGAGUAACACGUGAGUAACCUGCCCUUGACUUUGGGAUAACUUCAGGAAACUGGGGCUAAUACCGGAUAGGAGCUCCUGCUGCAUGGUGGGGGUUGGAAAGUUUCGGCGGUUGGGGAUGGACUCGCGGCUUAUCAGCUUGUUGGUGGGGUAGUGGCUUACCAAGGCUUUGACGGGUAGCCGGCCUGAGAGGGUGACCGGCCACAUUGGGACUGAGAUACGGCCCAUACUCCUACGGGAGGCAGCAGUGGGGAAUAUUGCACAAUGGGCGGAAGCCUGAUGCAGCAACGCCGCGUGCGGGAUGACGGCCUUCGGGUUGUAAACCGCUUUCGCCUGUGACGAAGCGUGAGUGACGGUAAUGGGUAAAGAAGCACCGGCUAACUACGUGC
rnacentral:rRNA from 1 species